AACUUUUAGUAUUAUUAUUAAUAAUUAGUAUUAGUUGUUAUUAGAAUUAUUAUUACUAAUAUUUAUUAUUAGAAUUAAUUUUAGGAUUAUUAGGUUUAGUUUUAGUAGGCCCAUUAGGUAUAAACAAAACCUAAUUUAGGAGCAAUAUAAAAAGGGGAUCAAUUCACCAAUGGGAAGGGGGCCAAUUUCAAAGAAAACACAAACUUCUCCAUUCACGUACAAGCACACCGAAAAACACAUAAUCCAACGCACUGAAAAAACACCUAUUGGCUUCUACCGAUCCACACCCACCCUUAACAACAGGUUGAAGAAACAGCAUAGAAAAGAAAAAGGGCUGCUGGGUUUGCCGAUGUCAACACCGCAAAACCGCCAUGGAAGCACUCGCCGCACACUGUCCACCACGAGAACGCUGCAUAAAACCCGAUAAGACCACAAUAGAUCUGCUGUCGGAGAUUCCCGUCCGCCAUCUUCGUUUGCGUAUCGUGCCCCGUUGAGUCAUAACAUGAGUCGUGUUCUUCUUCCUCCGAUAUUCACUCAGUCCUCUUUUUCCUCUGAUUCACGUCCAAUUUCCACUCAAAUAGAAAGAACGAAGAAAACCUAAUCUCCAUCGAACUCAGCCUUCGUCAACUCAUCACCAUCAUCUUUCUCUACAACGGUAUCUGGUGGAAAGUUGGUUUAUCAGACGACUAAGAAGACCUAAGUGUCCUGUUAAUGGAAAAAAGAUCCAAGGGUGGGGGUUUCGUUUUGUUUCGGAUUCAACAUCAUCAACAUCUUCUACAUUGACAUUGUAUCACUUUUCUGUAGUGGAGGUUUCGUUCGUUUCGCAAUCAGAUUUUUUGCAAAACCAAGUGUGAAGUCUACAGUUAAGCAUUCCAAAAGCUACUCAAUCUCAACCUAAAGCUACUCAAUCUCUUCAAUUGGAACAUGGCAGGUGAUCAGUGCAUUUUAAUGCACGUUCUUCCAUGUUUGUACUCAAGCAUUUCUUCGCAUUAACAGUCUGCACGGAAACGAUCAUAUCUGGAGUUCCAGGAGUCCGAUUGAGGCGUUCUAAUAAUCGCCGGAAAGCUAAGAGAAAGAGCUACAAUUCUUAUGUUGGAGUCGAAGUCAGAAUCGGACUGUAGAAGGGCCAGAAUAUUCGUUGAAGUUGCAGCACUAGUUUUAGUUAAGUUUUGGGUCAAUUAGUUUUGGGCCUGGGUCGUAUUUUUGACCCAGUUGGAUUGUAAAACGGGUCGUUCUCUCUCCCCUUAGGGUAGCAGCCGCGACACUAUUCAUUGCAUCUACUAUUCACGAAAAAUCAAGGUUGUACGAAUUGAUCCAUGGCGAACUAAUCCCUGCUGAGUUAAUCUGCUGUAAUUCGGAUUCCAAACUUGAGGUUUAUACAAUUUCGCAAUUCAUUUUCUAUUCA